rnacentral:tRNA from 1 species
GCCGCGCUUGGGCUGGAUGGCCAGGCCGUUGUCGCCGGUGCCGUACUUGCGCUUGAAGUAUUCGGUGUUCCAGGCGGCAGGCGCGACGCC